rnacentral:rRNA from 1 species
CACCGGGGGCUCGAGUGGUGGCCACUUUUAUUGGGUCUAAAGCGUCCGUAGCCGGCUUGGCAAGUCCCCUGGGAAAUCUGGCGGCUUAACCGUCAGGCGUCCAGAGGAUACUGCCAGGCUUGGGACCGGGAGAGGUGAGAGGUACCUCAGGGGUAGGGGUGAAAUCUUGUGAUCCCUGAGGGACCACCAGUGGCGUAGGCGUCUCACUAGAACGGGUCCGACGGUCAGGGACGAAAGCUGGGGGCACGAACCGU